AACGCAACUUGCGCUCUUGGGUAUCCCCGAGAGCAUGCCUCUUUGAGUAUCGUUUCAACAAACUCUCAGCUUCGUGCUGGGGACAAUGAGUGUUUUCUCUAUGCGGCAAGUGUAGAGUCACUUGAAAUGAAGCGACGCUAGUUUGCUUUUCACUUGUUAUCAAUGUCUAUGUACGAAGUCCUGGGUUCCGCUUAAGGCACUCUUUAAGCUGGGUCUUUGGCACUUCCAUCUAGCAUUGAUGUUUGAUACUUGACUUAAUUGUCAUUAUUAAACAUCUACAUCGGUGCUAGGGAGGAGCCGCUUUUCUGAGACUGCUUGUCGAAGAGGCUGGAAUCACUGUGGAUGCUUAGACAGGGAAGUGAAACAUUAUACAACACUACAGCGCGUUAACAUUUAACACAGAACAGAAUUUAUUCUAUUCUGAAUUUUGAUCUCAAAUGAAGCAAGAGAACCCGCCGAAUUUAA
rnacentral:misc_RNA from 1 species